AGGAUAAACGCUGGCGGCGUGCCUAACACAUGCAAGUCGAACGCGCUUACUAUCCGCGAGGAGGGUGAGCGAGUGGCGGACGGGUGAGGAACACGUGGGUGACCUACCUUUCAGUGAGGGAUACCGGCGAAAAAUUGCCGACAAGACCGCAUACGCUUCUCUUUUCAAGGGGAGAAGGAAAGCUUUUCGCAAGAGAGGCGCUGGGAGAUGGGCCUGCGGCCGAUUAGCUAGCUGGUGGGGUAAUGGCCUACCAGGGCGACGAUCGGUAGCUGGUCUGAGAGGACGAUCAGCCACACUGGGAUUGAGAACGGCCCAGACUCCUACGGGGGGCAGCAGUGAGGAAUUUUCGGCAAUGGGGGCAACCCUGACCGAGCAACGCCGCGUGCAGGACGACGGCCUUCGGGUUGUAAACUGCUUUUCUCUGGGACGAGCAAGGACGGUACCAGAGGAAGAAGCCCGGCUAACUACGCGCCAGCAGCCGCGGUAA
rnacentral:rRNA from 1 species